CUGACCUUGUAAUCCGGCUGCCUCAGCCUCCCAAAGUGCUGGGAUUACAAGCGUGAGCCACUGCGCCCGGCCUAGUUGAGGAGUAAAUGGACUGGAUUAAAGUUAAACCAUAACCCCAAAUUCAGGUUCUUACUAAACCUCUUCAAAGAAAUGGCAGCAUGAUGAGCUUUGAAAAUGUGAAAGAAAAGAGCAGAGAAGGAGGGCCCCAUGCACACACACCCGAAGAAGAAUUGUGUUUCGUGGUAACACACUACCCUCAGGUUCAGACCACACUCAACCUGUUUUUCCAUAUAUUCAAGGUUCUUACUCAACCACUUUCCCUUCUGUGGGGUUGUGAUCAGAAGCCUCGUACUGUUCCUACCCUUGGAAACGGCGCAUGGGAUACCUGCCAACAACACAUACGCACUUCAUCAUGGACAGCAAACACACUCGUCAUUCAAAACCAGCAUUCACGGGAAAGCACUGUUUCUGUUUGCCUUUUUAUGUUAAUCCGCAUGCAACAUAUUUUGAAAACAGAUACACUUCAACAGUUCAGAAUAUGCUAGUACUAAUAAAACCAACAUGUUACAUGCUGAAGUAAUUGCUCAAUUCAGUAAAACCCCUAGACCCUCGGCAAACAAAUGUGAAAUUCAAGAAAAUUUUAAAUGAUUAUCUCAUCAAAGACCCCCCAGGGCAACAAAGAAUCCUGGGAGGGGGUGGCUUGUUCAAGGGUCAUUGUAUGUCAACGGCUUCAGGAACUUGGCACGGUCUGGAGACCCCCAGCAAAGAAAAAUGUUUCCUCUGGGGAGCUCAUUCUUGGGUUUCUCAAACCCCUGGUUUGAAAACUAAGGUUUCAUGUCUUUACCUCUAGUAGAUCUAAUGUCCAUAUGUCUUACUGUAAAACCAGGACUUUGACCCAACCCAUGAUUAACUUGCCUUUCAAGAAGUACCUGAGACACAAUACCAGAGGCGCCAUUCCAUGGUGAAUACUUGAAUGUAUACCUGAAGAAAAAGUCUCUUGUUUUAAAAAUUAAACAGCACACUUAACACAGUCAA
rnacentral:lncRNA from 1 species